AAACUAGGAUUAGAUACCCUAUUAUUUAGGAGCUUAACAUUGUAAGUAAAUAAAGAUUAUGAAAGCAAAAAAUUAUGGCGGUAUUUUAAGCUUUUCAGAGGAAUUUGCUCUUUAAUGGAUAAAACACCUAAAUCUUACUUAAAUUUGUUAAUUCAAUUUGUAUACCACUAUAAAAACAAUUUAUAACUUUAAUUGUUGAUAUUUAUUAAAUUAAAAUAUAUUAAGUCAAGGUGCAGUAAAAAUUUAAGGAUGAAGUGAAUUACAUUACUUUUUAGAGAAAUAAAUUUAAAAUAAUAUUUAGGAUUUGAAAGUAAAAUUAAAAUAUAAUGUUAAUUUGAAUUAAGCUCUAAAAUAUGUACAUAUCGCCCGUCACUCUUUAUUAAGAUAAGUCGUUACAUAGA
rnacentral:rRNA from 1 species